UUGGAGGGCAAGUCUGGUGCCAGCAGCCGCGGUAAUUCCAGCUCCAAUAGCGUAUAUUAAAGUUGUUGCAGUUAAAAAGCUCGUAGUUGAAUUUCGGAAUUUUUUUAUCGGUUGAAUCAACAGGUUCGUACUGAUUUUAAGAAUUUCUACCUUCUGGAGAACCUUAAUGUCAUUUAUUUGGUGUUUUGGGAAACCAGGACUGUUACCUUGAAAAAAUUAGAGUGUUUAAAGCAGGCUUAUGUCUGAAUAUAUUAGCAUGGAAUAAUGAAAUAGGACGGCAUGGUUCUAUUUUGUUGGUUUCUAGGAUCACCGUAAUGAUUAAUAGGGAUAGUUGGGGGCAUUAGUAUUCAAUUGUCAGAGGUGAAAUUCUUGGAUUUAUUGAAGACUAACUUCUGCGAAAGCAUUUGCCAAGGAUGUUUUCAUUAAUCAAGAACGGAAGUUAGGGGAUCGAAGACGAUCAGAUACCGUCGUAGUCUUAACCAUAAACUAUGCCGACUAGGAAUCGGACGAAGUUAAUUUUUUAAUGACUCGUUCGGCGCCUUACGGGAAAC
rnacentral:rRNA from 1 species